UCAGGUGGCCGCAGAGAAUAGGCCCAAGCGACUGUUUACCAAAAACAUAGGUUUCUGCUAAGUCGCAAGACGAUGUAUAGGAGCUGACGCCUGCCCGGUGCUGGAAGGUUAAGGGGAUCUGUUAGAGCAAUCGAAGCAGUGAACUUAAGCCCCAGUAAACGGCGGCCGUAACUAUAACGGUCCUAAGGUAGCGAAAUUCCUUGUCGGGUAAGUUCCGACCCGCACGAAAGGCGUAACGAGUUGGGCACUGUCUCAACAACAGACUCGGUGAAAUUGUAAUUCCGGUGAAGAUGCCGGAUACCUGCGACAGGCCGGAAAAACCCCAUGGAGCUUUACUGUAGCUUGACAUUGGGUCUUGGUACUACAUGUACAGGAU
rnacentral:rRNA from 1 species